rnacentral:misc_RNA from 1 species
GCCAUAUUUUAUCCUUUUUCUCUUGUACGCUCUGCCAAGCAUUGUUAGCUGGUGAGUUCUUACGGUGUCGUCAGCAGAAUAAAGCUGCUCCUUGGAGGUAGGCAAAUCAACAUCCGUGAUUGGCUGUAGUAAAAUAUCUCCAUCACUGUCUUCACCUUCACUUGAUGAGAACCUAUAUUCAACUGCUCCAUUAUUAUCUCCCCA